GCUCCAGUAGCUCAGUGGAUAGAGCAACCGCCUUCUAAGCGGUCGGUCGCAGGUUCGAUCCCUGCCUGGAGCG
rnacentral:tRNA from 1 species